rnacentral:rRNA from 1 species
UGCCAGACUCCUACGGGAGGCAGCAGUGAGGAAUAUUGGUCAAUGGGCGGGAGCCUGAACCAGCCAAGUCGCGUGAGGGAGUACUGCCCUAUGGGUUGUAAACCUCUUUUGUCGGGGAGCAAAUGCCGGACGAGUCCGGCUGUGAGAGUACCCGAAGAAAAAGCAUCGGCUAACUCCGUGCCAGCAGCCGCGGUAAUACGGAGGAUGCGAGCGUUAUCCGGAUUUAUUGGGUUUAAAGGGUGCGUAGGCGGUCGGAUAAGUUAGAGGUGAAGUCCCGAGGCUCAACUUCGGAAUUGCCUCUGAUACUGUUCGGCUAGAGAGUAGUUGCGGUAGGCGGAAUGUAUGGUGUAGCGGUGAAAUGCUUAGAGAUCAUACAGAACACCGAUUGCGAAGGCAGCUUACCAAGCUACUUCUGACGUUGAGGCACGAAAGCGUGGGGAGCAAACAGGAUUAGAUACCCGCGUAAGC